rnacentral:rRNA from 1 species
UACGAAGGGGGCUAGCGUUGUUCGGAAUUACUGGGCGUAAAGCGCACGUAGGCGGAUACUUAAGUCAGACGUGAAAUCCCUCAGCUUAACUGGGGAACUGCGUCUGAUACUGGAUGGCUUGGAUCCGGGAGAGGGAUGCGGAAUUCCAGGUGUAGCGGUGAAAUGCGUAGAUAUCUGGAGGAACACCGGUGGCGAAGGCGGCAUCCUGGACCGGUAUUGACGCUGAGGAGCGAAAGCCAGGGGAGCAAAGCGGG